GCUGCGGUGGCCGAGUGGUUAAGGCGGCAGAUUUAAGUUAUUGCCCUUUUGGGCGAUGGCAUUGAAAUAAAACCUGCUGGAGCAGUCCACGCGAGUUCGAACCUCGUCCGCAGCA